rnacentral:tRNA from 1 species
GCCCAGCUGGUGUAGCCAGGCUGGAUCAUCGACCCCUGUCGCGGGUCGGACGAGGGUUCGAAUCCCUCGCUGGGCG